GGUGGUCCACUCAUAUGGACUAGGAAGAUUGUAAGGCUCCUGUUUAACUUCAGUUAAGGGUGUUGGAGGUUCAAUAGGACCUUCAGGCAAGCUUGAAUCUCCAAGAUCCUUGAACUGGCCCACUGGUUGGGUCUCCCAAAACUUAUGCCUCUUCGACAGUGAGAGAGAUUCUUGUACCUUUCGUGCUAAGGAAUCAAUUGAUACCUCAUUACCGCUUUCUGAAGAUAAGUUACUAUCCGAAGUGAGGUUAUGGUUCUCAGCUGCCUUACUAUCAUCAGCCAUUUUACCAACUUUGGAAUAUUAUUCUCUUGCAAAUGGUUUGCAGUAGAGUGGUGACCGAGAUCUAGGGUUUCAUAAAGUGAUCGACAAAGAUGAUCGGGAGCACCU
rnacentral:misc_RNA from 1 species